GUUUAGAAUCAUCCAUUUUUUAUUUAUAUAUAUAUAUAUAUUUUUGGGGGGGUACCGGGGAUCGAACUCCAGUCCUUGUGCUUGUGCAGCAGGUGGUGAAACCACUGAGCCAAAUCCCUGGCCCCCUUUUUUAUAUUUUGCUUCAAUUUUUUUUUCGUAGUGCUGGGGAUUGAACCCAGAGUCUUGCUCGGUCUAGGUAAAAUGUAAUCCCAGCUACUUCAAAUGCUCAGGUAGGAAGAUGGCAAGUUCAAGGGCAAUCUGCAUAACAUAGUGAAACUGGAUCCCCGGAUAGAAAAAUGUAGAACAGAGCAUGAAUGUCUUUUAAAAUCAUGAAUAGGAAAUUGACUUGAAAUAAAAUCAGUGGCCGAGUGUUGAGAAGUAAGUUCACUCUGAACAUUCACUUCUGUUAAUUACCUAUCUCAGGAGAUGCUUUUAUCCAUAAUCAGAACCUGAGUUGUUUUAUUUUUCCCCAGUCAGCCUUGGUUGUCUUAUUCCUAUCCAAACCAACCCUUCAUUUCCUUGAAUGAAUGUCUAAAGCAGUGAUGUAAUAAGACGAUGAUAGAGUUUUCAAUGAUAACAAACAGCCCACUGUAGCAUGCAUGUCAUAGAUUCACCACCACUGGUCUAGAGUGACCACUCCUGAGUGACUCCUCAUAGACACUCACACAUUUUGGGAGCUGAUGUCACUUCUUGGGGAAAUAAUCAGAUGACUCACCUGCUGAAGGAUCUGUGUGACUUGGCAAUGUCCAUGUUCUCUGGCCACUUAAGGGUCCCGAGAGCUGAGUGAAUAUAGUGAAAUGUUGAUGUGAAAGUUGAUGAGGGUGUGCAUGUUUAUUGAUGGGGCAAUCUGAAAAAUUAUUGGUAGUAUAUCCUGACAUUGUACAUGUGCAUACUUUGUCACACAAAAGUAAUACAUAUUCAUGUGUAUCAAUGCAUGUUCAUGUGUAUUCCAGUGUUAUAUGUCAUAGUCCUAAAUUGGAAACAGCCCAGCUUUGGGUCAACAGGAUAGUGGGUAAAUUGUCG
ensembl:lncRNA